CUCCCAUUGAUAAGAAAGUAUUGUCCUCAUCCUCUGGGAUUUCUUCAGCUGUCCAACAGCUCUGUGGCUCCAUGCCUACAUUGUUCCUUCAUUUCCUGAUCCAAUGUUCAAGCCAUAUUUCAUUCCUGGGAGCAGAACACUGUAACUCUGCCUGCACGUGUGCUGUGGAAUAAAGGGGCUCUCAAACUUUCUUUUGGGAGUGGUUUCAUAUUGCAUGAUAUAACUGUGAUUUUAGUGGGCUAACAGGAGAAUCAGCAUCAUCAACUCCUCAGCCUAGUGAUGAUAAACUUUCUCUAGGAAUGAGAAUAUCUUGGACUUAGUCCCAUUCUUUUUUGUAUGACUACAGAAGAGGAUUUGCAAGCAAAGGGAGAAGGAAAAAGUGGGAAAGUACUGUGGAUAUUUCUCAAAACAAGUUGACCAUUAUGGAUUUCGUGUUAUCAAAGCCAUGGUUGCAACUCUAGGCUGUUUGGACUCCAAAUCAUCUCAUAUUCUUCAGAUUCUCUGGAAUGAGUUAGCAGAACAGCUUUUACUGAAAAAAAAAAUCCAGCUGACUGAAGAAAAGCCCUCAGAUGGGACUUUCUUCUGCAGGCAAACAGAUUUCAAAAUAUGAAAAUUCUCUGAGAGAGAAUCCUUCCUUUUUCCACAUAGCACUAUUUCCAAGAAACUGCAUAGCCAUGUUGAAGAUCUUUAAAUAACCACUGAAUACUUCUGUUCUACCAGCAAAGUAAUGUUGUACUUUUGAUUGUCAAAAACAUUUAGAUAAUGAACACCCAUUGAUUCCUCCAUAAAGAUAUAUGGGGG